rnacentral:rRNA from 1 species
UACGUAGGGUGCGAGCGUUGUCCGGAAUUACUGGGCGUAAAGAGCUCGUAGGUGGUUUGUCGCGUUGUUCGUGAAAUCUCACGGCUUAACUGUGAGCGUGCGAGCGAUACGGGCAGACUGGAGUACUGCAGGGGAGACUGGAAUUCCUGGUGUAGCGGUGGAAUGCGCAGAUAUCAGGAGGAACACCGGUGGCGAAGGCGGGUCUCUGGGCAGUAACUGACGCUGAGGAGCGAAAGCGUGGGGGAGCGAACAGG